AAGAAAAAGAGAAAGAAAGAAGUAGGAGUGGAAGAAGAAGAAGAAGAAUUGGAGAGUGUCUAGGCGUAUGAGAGAGUCGUGACUCACGUCUGGCUAAUUGCAAUUGAAGUGUUUUCGGGCAAUCGUGAGGUGAGGAAGGGUCGCGUGUAGCGCUUCUCUUGCCCGGGACAACGUAGCGAAUUGAGUGACAGGUACAUCAUCAGUUGAGCGAGGUAAGGGGAUUGCGCCUAGUUAGCCAUCCUACCAGUAUACUUAUCUAUAGCGGACUUUCAGAUAGUGAGCCACUGUACUUUCUUUUGGACUGGCGUGGGCCAGGGCCAUUUACUUGUACUUGAUUUUGGGCGUGGAGUUGUGUAUCUUGUUACUAGUUUCAUGUUGUUCGGUGGUCAGCAUAUGUAUAGUGCUCUGCUACUCGUCUUUUGGCUUUUAAUGACUUUUCUUAAUACUUGUAAUGUGAACAAUGGUUUCUUUUAACUCUUGAAAACUGUUAGAUUA